AACACUGAAGCCCUAAGCCAUGGCAGGUUUGCUACUCUAGCCGCUCAGAGGACAGUGGAGACCAAGGGGGAGUCCCUGCUCUGAAGCCGCUGCAGUGUUGGUAGCAGGAGGCAGACUGUGUGCAAGCAGGAAAGAAAAUGGAUGCUGCCAAAGAUGGUCAUUUGUCACCAUCCGAAUGAGAGAACAGUAACUUGCCAUGUCAAGCAGCCAAGUGUUUGGCUUUCAGGUACAAGAGAGGAGGCCUGGGAAACUAAGAGACCAAAGGUCACCUUCAUCUCUCAUGUAAAUUAAAUUCCCUGAAGCCUGCUAAAGACCUAGGGGACAGCAGCUGCCCUACUAAAACCACAAUGACAACCUAAAUAACUACAGAAAUAACACUAUGUAUCCAAGUACAAAAUCAAGUCAUUGGA